AUAUGUGAGGACAGUCUGGUUAGGACAUCUGUCACCCCAUUGAUCACCAGAGUCUAUUUGGUUGAUCUGGCUGGCUAGGCAGGUGUCCCCUUCUUCCUUCACUGCUCCACGUGUGUUCCCCCCAAAGUUGUGAGCUCAGUGGAAGAGGAUGACCAUCCCUGAUAGAGGAGGACUAUUUUUCAGUUAAGGGUAUAGGAAUAGCUGUGCUCCCCUGCUAGAGCAUCCAAAUAAGCUCUCAAGUAUAGAAGAUGUAUAAGUUACCAGCUGUCUACUGGUUCCUGUAUAAGCAAUGCUAAGGGAUCUGAGU
rnacentral:snRNA from 1 species